GCUUCUAUGGCUCAGUAGGCAGAGCAUGCGGCUGUUAACCGCAGGGUCGUUGGUUCGAUCCCAACUAGGAGCG
rfam:Dictyostelium fasciculatum unplaced genomic scaffold Scf_ET5ZYIE02H8LDV-5, whole genome shotgun sequence.